rnacentral:rRNA from 1 species
AUGGAGAGUUUGAUCCUGGCUCAGGACGAACGCUGGCGGCGUGCUUAACACAUGCAAGUCGAACGGAAAGGCCCUGCUUUUGUGGGGUGCUCGAGUGGCGAACGGGUGAGUAACACGUGAGUAACCUGCCCUUGACUUUGGGAUAACUUCAGGAAACUGGGGCUAAUACCGGAUAGGAGCUCCUGCUGCAUGGUGGGGGUUGGAAAGUUUCGGCGGUUGGGGAUGGACUCGCGGCUUAUCAGCUUGUUGGUGGGGUAGUGGCUUACCAAGGCUUUGACGGGUAGCCGGCCUGAGAGGGUGACCGGCCACAUUGGGACUGAGAUACGGCCCAGACUCCUACGGGAGGCAGCAGUGGGGAAUAUUGCACAAUGGAGGAAACUCUGAUGCAGCCAUGCCGCGUGUGUGAAGAAGGCCUUCGGGUUGUAAAGCACUUUCAGUUGUGAGGAAAGCUUGUUGGUUAAUACCCAACAGGUAUGACGUUAGCAACAGAAGAAGGACCGGCUAACUCCGUGCCAGCAGCCGCGGUAAUACGGAGGAUGCAAGUGUUAUCCGAAAUUAUUGGGCGUAAAGAGUCUGUAGGUGGCUUUCAAAGUCUGAUGUUAAAUGUCAGGGCUUAACCCUGAACCUGCAUUAGAAACUAGUAAGCUUGAGUAGAGUCGAAGUAGAAGGAAUUUCCAGUGAAGCGGUGAAAUGCGUAGAUAUUGGAAGGAACACCAAUGGCGAAAGCAUUCUACUAGGCUCUUACUGACACUGAGAGACGAAAGCGAGGGUAGCAAAUGGGAUUAGAUACCCCAGUAGUCCUCGCUGUAAACGAUGGAUACUAAACAUUGCGUGCAUCGAUCCGCGUGGUGUUAUAGCUAACGCGUUAAGUAUCCCGCCUGGGGAGUACG